rnacentral:tRNA from 1 species
GGACCAAUAGCGCAAUUGGUUAGAGCUUCCCGCUCAUAACGGGGUGGUUCCGGGUUCAAGUCCUGGUUGGUCCACCA